GUUCUAACUGUGUUUGCGGCUCCUUUUCACCGGGGAAACCCGUUUGAUCAGCGGCGCUCUCUUGCUUCGGUCCGUCAGCCACAGACGUGCCGCUUGCUGCUUUUCCUUUGUGAGAACAAGAUGGUUGAUGGUUUGAGAAAUCGAUACAGAUUGUUUAACCCUUAGGUACCGGUGAGGGUGCUGAUAGUGUGUGCAGGAUAUUGCAGGGUUUGCUCACUGGAGGCUUGGCUGCGCCCCCAGAAGAGAGCACAUCCAACACGGGGCCGGACCACAAGGGGCUGAAGCCACCUUACUGCCCCAAUCCGGAUUCCCUCCUCCCAAACCAACCUGCCCCUCGCUGCUCGACCCGCCCAGCCCACCACCAGUACCAACCCCCCCAUCCCUCCCUCCCUCCUGCAGUCACACACACACACUGUCUCUGCUCUGUCCCGCUGUGUGCCAGUCCCGCUCUGCCUCUCCACUCUCAGCUCUCUCCACUCGUCCUUUCUACAUCCCUCCACCGCUUCUCUUCCUCUUAUCACUGAUAGCAAGCCGGAUCUCGGGCCGCUACUUCCACCACCACCAAACUGCCCCCUGGAGAAUUUACUUUCACCUACUUUUUCUUUUUCAAUUCUGCUGUCCUGCACCUUCCCCUCCGGAGAGGCCGGUUGGUGCGUGUCUGGCGCGUGCGAGAGCUCCGGUGUCGCGCUCUUUGCCCCCCCCCCGAGGGAAUCCCUGGCGGUUGUCUGAGUCGGAGGAGAAGAACUUUUUUCGCCACGAUGAACGUUCAGCUGCUGCUGGUGUUGGCCCUGGUCGGCCCUUUCUGUGCCUUUACACAUGCAAGCCCCACAGAGAUCCCCAAAGACCUUGAUGAGAGCGACGGUGCCGUAGCAGACCUUGGACCUGCCGUUACAGAAGCUUCGGCAAUGGACUUGACUGUUACCCCUGACCCUCCUGCAACCGAACCAGAGACGUCCCCAGAAGAUGUUGCGGCAACGGAAGGAGCCGCGACAACGGAAGCAGCCGCGGCAACAGAAGCAGCCACGGCAACGGAAGCAGCCGCUUCAACGGAAGUUGUCACCGGGACGGCGCUCCCCAGCACUGCAUUGAAUACCGAAGACACUGUGAAAACGGAAGCCCCAGCUGCUUCUACUGCAUCACCAGAACCCAUAGUCACUGUAGUGGACAUAACAGACCCCAGUAACACAGCAGAGGGUGAAGUCCAGCCAACGGAAGCAGUGACAGAAAAAGCGGUGGUUGUUGAAGAACAGUCAGAUGAGGGCAUGAGCUCUGGCCAGGUAGUCGGGGUCGUGAUUGGCGCUCUGUUGGCAGUGGUCAUCGCCAUCGCCGUGGUGAUCGCUGUGGUGAGGAGGAUGGGAAAAUACUCCCCUUGAGGAAGAAGUCGGCCAAGCGGCGGGAGCGUUUAAAGUUCUGGAAAUCCUGAACUACUGAACUGUGACGUCAUUCACGACCAUUAAAACAAGCACCAUACCGUAACUAAACUAAUCUAACCAGCACUCUGGACUUUUGCCAAAUAGGGGGAGGGAGGCUAGUAUGUGUUAAUGUAUGAACUGUAUGUAUGUGAGACGAGGGGUACAUGAGCAGACAUCCUCAUCUUCCCUGUCGCAUCCCUCCCCACUGCUCCCCCGGAGAGAACAAAACAAGGUGACGGCAGGAUGUAGUUUGGAAUUUCAGGCCUUUUUUAAAAGCAUUUUGUUUAGAAAAAAAGAGAGAAAGGAAUGUAGAGGAUUAUCUGACCUUUAGGCAUAAAACGUAUCCCUCAAAGAAUGACCGAUGACACAAAUGGAUAUUACUGAAAAAACAAAAGGAAGUUAAUUACAAAUGGAAGGUGCCAGCAGUAGAAAUUGCUCCAAAUUCCACAGAAUGUAUAUAUACCACGCAAGGGGACUACAUAGCACACAGCUAAUGACUUUCUCAUAUGUUGCAGUUGCAUAGGCGAGCGUUUGUUAUUAUAGAAUACACAGUACAUACAGGCAGGCUGCUGUUGUGGCUACCAGAACUUUUAAAGCAACCCUGAGCACCAGUUAAAAUAUUUUCUCAUGUAGCCAGAAUCCCUGAUAUGUCGGCCAACCGUCUGCAGCACCGUGUGCACGAGUUGUUUUGACACAGCGCGCCCAUGAGCGCUGAGGGCGAGCACGCAGCGAACGGGAAAGAAAAGGCACCCUCGUUUGCAAGAGCAACGUGACAUUCUGCCCACUUUAACACUGACGUAUAAAAACCUAAUACAUAUCUGUGAAAUUCAGCAGAAGGGUUUGUGCCACUGUCUCUGGUAUUCUCUAGGUAGUUUGGAGGACUUUAACUUUUGAAGUGCAUUAUUAAUGUGAAUUGACUGUACCUUUUUAACUGCCACCCAUUCCAGACAGAACAGCUAGUAUGACUUGUUCCAUAUUAAAGCUUACGAAACAGCCCUUGGUUAUUAGACAUAGUGAUAGCAUUGUCUUGAGAAUGUCUUCAUAGUACUUUUGUUAAUAGUUAGAUUACCAGAACAGCAAACCGGUCCUUAAAAUGAGCUAACCCCCCCGAUUGCGUGCACAGGUUGACAUUUUAUAGUUUCACUUAGUUUUAGUACACAGUAUUAGGCAGUAAUGCCCUAUUUUGUUAUUGUUGCAAUUGUAAGUGUGCCGAAUGGGUGUACAAAUAAUGAAGUCUCAGCUUCGCUCUGCUUGCUUUACAAACUCGUUUAACAUGUGCACUCAAUGAGUGAUGUAAUGUUUAAUGAAUAGGUUUUAGACACUGCAAAAGUUUGCAACGACAUGUCUUUGUUUCCUCUCCUCAGCUUUGCCACGUACCAUCAGCUCUAGGUUUAAUUUGUGCCAUUGGAUCUAUUCAAACCCUUUUAUUUAAUUGCAGUGUUUUUGUUCAUACUGUUUCAAUAAUAAACUGAAAACACUCUUAAAAAAAACGUUUUUGUCUUUCGCGCAUGAAGUUUCUCAAUAGCUUUUUCAAAAAUCUGGUUAUCGUCGACGCCAUUUCCAAUCAUUUAGAACACGUAGUGACGGUUUCAACGUCUAAAAGUCAACUCUUUUUUUUGAGCAGUGCUUUAGUUGGUCUUCAGUUUGCCCAAAACACCACAAUCCACACACGUCAUUGAAAGCCG
ensembl:lncRNA